CCGGUAGCGUAACGCGUUAAGUAUACCCGCCUGGGACGGUUUAACGGUCACGCAAGNGUGAAACUCAAACGGAAAGUUGACGGGGGCCCGGCGACAAGACGGUGGAGGUAUGUGGUUUAAUUUCGGAUGCAACGCGAAGAACCUUACCAGGACUUGACAUGUCGCGAAUCCAGUGGAAACACACGGAGUGCCUUCGGGAGCGCGAACACAGGUGGUGCAUGGCUAGUCGUCAGCUCGUGUCGUGAGAGUGUUGGGUUAAGUCCCGCAACGAGCGCAACCCUCGUGUUUAGUUGCCAUCAUUAAGUUGGGCACUCUAAACAGACUGCCGGUGACAAACCGGAGGAAGGUGGGGAUGACGUCAAGUCAGCAUGCCCCUUACGUCCUGGGCUACACACGUACUACAAUGGUAGGGACAGAGGGCAGCCAACCCACGAGGGCGAGCUAAUCCCGUAAACCCUGCCUCAGUUCAGAUUGCAGGCUGCAACUCGCCUGCAUGAAGGCGGAAUCGCUAGUAAUCGCAGGUCAGCAUACUGCGGUGAAUC
rnacentral:rRNA from 1 species